UACGUAGGGCGCAAGCGUUGUCCGGAAUUAUUGGGCGUAAAGAGCUCGUAGGCGGCUUGUCACGUCGGGUGUGAAAGCCCGGGGCUUAACCCCGGGUCUGCAUUCGAUACGGGCUAGCUAGAGUGUGGUAGGGGAGAUCGGAAUUCCUGGUGUAGCGGUGAAAUGCGCAGAUAUCAGGAGGAACACCGGUGGCGAAGGCGGUUCUCUGGGACGGUACUGACGCUGAGACGCGAAAGCGUGGGGAGCGAACAGG
rnacentral:rRNA from 1 species